rnacentral:rRNA from 1 species
UACAGGGGGUGCAAACGUUGCUCGGAAUUAUUGGGCGUAAAGCGCGCGUAGGCGGCUACUUAAGUCGGGGGUGAAAGCCCAGGGCUCAACCCUGGAAUUGCCUUCGAUACUGAAGAUCUCGAGACCGGAAGAGGUAAGUGGAACUGCGAGUGUAGAGGUGAAAUUCGUAGAUAUUCGCAAGAACACCAGUGGCGAAGGCGGCUUACUGGUCCGGUUCUGACGCUGAGGCGCGAAAGCGUGGGGAGCAAACAGG